CACGUAGGGGCCAAGCGUUGUCCGGAUUUAUUGGGCGUAAAGGGCGCGUAGGCGGCCUUCUAAGUCGAACGUGAAAUCCCCGGGCUCAACCCGGGAACUGCGUCCGAUACUGGAAGGCUUGAAUCCGGGAGAGGGAUGUGGAAUUCCAGGUGUAGCGGUGAAAUGCGUAGAUAUCUGGAGGAACACCGGUGGCGAAGGCGACAUCCUGGACCGGUAUUGACGCUGAGGCGCGAAAGCGUGGGUAGCAAACAGG
rnacentral:rRNA from 1 species